GAGCGGCGCACGGGUGAGUAACGCGUAUCCAACCUUCCCCUUAGUAGGGCAUAGCCCGGCGAAAGUCGGAUUAAUACCCUAUGUUCUUCGUAGAUGACAUCUGACAUGAAGCAAAGAUUUAUCGCUAAGGGAUGGGGAUGCGUCCGAUUAGCUUGUUGGCGGGGUAACGGCCCACCAAGGCACCGAUCGGUAGGGGUUCUGAGAGGAAGGUCCCCCACACUGGUACUGAGACACGGACCAGACUCCUACGGGAGGCAGCAGUGAGGAAUAUUGGUCAAUGGGCGGUAGCCUGAACCAGCCAAGUAGCGUGCAGGAUGACGGCCCUACGGGUUGUAAACUGCUUUUAUGCGGGGAUAAAGUGCGGGACGCGUCCCGUUUUGUAGGUACCGCAUGAAUAAGGACCGGCUAAUUCCGUGCCAGCAGCCGCGGUAAUACGGAAGGUCCUGGCGUUAUCCGGAUUUAUUGGGUU
rnacentral:rRNA from 1 species